rnacentral:rRNA from 1 species
GAAUUUUCCGCAAUGGGCGCAAGCCUGACGGAGCAACGCCGCGUGUGGGAGGACGCCUUUCGGGGUGUAAACCACUUUUCCGGGGGACGCAGCAAGUGACGGUACCCUGGGCAGAAGGUCCGGCUAACUACGUGCCAGCAGCCGCGGUAAUACGUAGGGACCGAGCGUUGUCCGGUGUUACUGGGCGUAAAGGGCGCGCAGGCGGCCGGUCGCGUCGGGUGUGAAAGCCCUCCGCUCAACGGAGGAGCGUCACUCGAAACGGGCUGGCUGGAGGCAGGGAGAGGUCGGUGGAAUUCCCGGUGUAGUGGUGAUAUGCGUAGAGAUCGGGAGGAACACCAGUGGCGAAGGCGGCCGACUGGACCUGACCUGACGCUGAGGCGCGAAGGCGUGGGGAGCGAACGGG